rnacentral:rRNA from 1 species
CCUACGGGUGGCAGCAGUGGGGAAUAUUGGACAAUGGGGGCAACCCUGAUCCAGCCAUGCCGCGUGUGUGAAGAAGGCCCGCGGGUUGUAAAGCACUUUCAGUGAGGAAGAACGCCUGGUGGUUAAUACCCAUCAGGAAAGACAUCACUCACAGAAGAAGCACCGGCUAACUCCGUGCCAGCAGCCGCGGUAAUACGGAGGGUGCGAGCGUUAAUCGGAAUUACUGGGCGUAAAGCGCGCGUAGGUGGCUUGAUAAGCCGGUUGUGAAAGCCCCGGGCUCAACCUGGGAACGGCAUCCGGAACUGUCAAGCUAGAGUGCAGGAGAGGAAGGUAGAAUUCCCGGUGUAGCGGUGAAAUGCGUAGAGAUCGGGAGGAAUACCAGUGGCGAAGGCGGCCUUCUGGACUGACACUGACACUGAGGUGCGAAAGCGUGGGUAGCAAACAGGAUUAGAUACCCGAGUAGUC